rnacentral:rRNA from 1 species
CCUACGGGUGGCAGCAGUGAGGAAUAUUGGUCAAUGGGCUUACGCCUUAACCAGCCAAGUCGCGUGAGGGAAGACUGCCCUAUGGGUUGUAAACCUCUUUUGUCAGGGAGCAACGCCGGCUACGUGUAGCCGGACUGAGAGUACCUGAAGAAAAAGCAUCGGCUAACGCCGUGCCACCAGCCGCGGUAAUACGGAGGAUGCGAGCGUUAUCCGGAUUUAUUGGGUUUAAGGGGUGCGUAGGCGGAAUGCCAGGUCAGCGGUAAAAUCGCGGGGCUCAACCUCGCUCCGCCGUUGAAACUGGCGUUCUUGAGUGCUGGAGAGGCAAUCGGAAUUCCGGGUGUAGCGGUGAAAUGCGUAGAUAUACGGAGGAACACCAGUGGCGAAGGCGGAUUGCUGGACAGUAACUGACGCUGAGGCGCGAAAGCGUGGGGAGCAAACAGGAUUAGAUACCCGAGUAGUC